GAAUGAGUCAAUCUCAGUACUCCAAGAUAACAACAGCUGCUACAGGAACCUGCUGGAAUGCAGAUAUGCCUUAGAUCUUCAACUGAAGGAAAAGAAAACAAUAAUCAGUCAUAAGCUGAUAAAGAUGAAGAAUCUACGAACAGGACUCAGAUGAGACAGCACAAGGAAAUACAGGACAGUGACCACAGGAAAAGAAGUGCAACAGAGCAUCA